UUAAGUAUAGAAACUUACGAGCUCCGAAAUUGGAUCGAUGCAGAGAAGAUUAGCAUGGCUCCUGCGCAAGGGUGACAUUCACAAUUCGAGAAAUGAUCUAAAUUAUU